CUUGAAAUACCACUCAAAUUCUUAAGACCAUGGAUUCUAAAUAAUAUAUUAUGCAUUCCUUAAUUAUUUAUCAAGACUAAUUCAAAAUAACUGUAGGGCAAAGCAUACAUUUAUUUUUAAAUAGCCAUCCCCUUUCCCAAUUUUUUCAGAUUAAAAAGUAUUCCAGAUGGUGAAAACACGUGGAAUGAGAAAAGGUUGAAGAGUGGAGGUUUACCUGAUAGCCUUGGCUGUCCUGGAACUCGCUCUGUAGACCAGGCUACCCUGGAACUCAGAGAUCCACCUCCCUCUGCCUUCCUAGUGCUGGGAUCAAAGGCACCACCACUGCCCAGCUUACAUACAUUCUUAAGUGAACUUUGAAUGUAUGUUUCACUGAUCUUGUUUGCUAAUUAUCUUCCUUUAAUGACUUGUAAGCACAUCUAUAAUUCAAAAAUAAUCUAUUUAUUAUGCAUGUAAAAUUUUACUUUUAUCGGUAAUUUGUUAUUUUGCAGAUGUGGCAAUUUCCUCUGCUCAUUCAUGAGCCAAUGAAUAUCAUGGGAUGUAUGAACUUACAAAGGUUGCUUAGAUUAACUAUGGAGUGACCUGAGGCUUCCAACUGUCCACCUUAGUCUCUGAGGUGCUGCUGCUCCAGGAGGAUGGAUGGAAUCAGGGGUCACCAUGUUCAGCAAAGUAAACCAGACUAAGAAAGGGCAAUAUCACACAUGUGCUUUCUGUCACAUAUAGGAUCUAGAUUAAAACAAUAACAAACCAUGAAAGUAAAAGUGAAACUAUUUGGAUAAGGAAAGAGACCUGUGGAGGAGAGAGGAGGAACAAGAGAAGAUCAUAGGUUCUUGAACAUCACCAAUAUUCUACACAUGAACAACAGCAUCAUCAACAUGAACAAAGUCACUCUACACACACAUGAAAAUCUCCUACCAAAUCCAUUAUGAUAAUGGAUGAUAAUUCAUGUGUGAUAAUGCCCUGGUGUGAGUCCUGACCUCCUGCUCCCACACUCCUAUUAUCAUACUUUUGGGGAGCAACCUUACUAGGCCACAGAUGACAAUGCAGCCACUUCUGAUGAGAACUGAGAGACUAAGAUCAGAAAGAAGGAGAGGA